rnacentral:antisense_RNA from 1 species
GUCUGGGUUCAAGAUUAGCCCCCGUAAUGUUGUCAGGUUUACGCCUUACAACGUGCGGGGGUUUUCU